GCCAUUAGUUAAUCAGGGCUGGUAACACAGAGCACGGAGAGCUGGCACAGCUCGUGGGACCAGAGGAUAGCUUCACCUCUGAGAGCAAGAAGAGGGCAAGGACUCAGGGACCUCUGUUUCACCGAUCUACAGCUGGGCUGCUUCACUCACCAGCACCCACUCAGGAGGCGACUUCAGGAUGACCACACCCAGUGCUUUACUGUGAACAGGGAGCUUUCAAAGACAGAAGUCAAAACAACACAUGCUGUCAACAUGGGAACAGCUGGCCGAAAUGAAACAUUAUCUCCUGACUCAGAUUCAAAUUAAAGCCAUGACAAGAACCAUGCUCGUGAGGACCUGGGGAGACCUUCCAGCCACCGCUUCAAUUGCUCACACUCGACUGGCAAAUGAGCAAGAUCAGGAAACACAAGCCCAAUGAUGUCACGACCGACUGACCCCAGGGUGACAGGUUUGGAGAAUGCUCUUGCCCACUGCCCCAGGCCAAAGUCAAGUAUGUCAAUGUUGUGCAUGUGGAUUUCAUUUGAAGCAGCAUGAUUAGUUCACAGACGCCCAACUGCAAUCCCCCUCCAUGGGAAACCCACUCUUGACAGGAAACGGUAUGUUUUUGUUAGCAACAAACAGGCAUAAAUUACUAAAAUGGUGCCUUGGUCGCCAAUUUAUCAC